CAGUCGGUUCAUUCAAACUAUGCACGCGAACACAUACGCAGCAUCUGAAACAUUCAAGAAGAAUAAAGAUAUGACAAUCCAAAUAUAAUAAAGUAAGGAGCAAACCGAAACACAACAAGAACCGCCUAAUGUAAUUCUUUGCGUUUAUGUUACUGCUAUGUGAUAUAAAACUAUAACUCCCAAAAUAGAAUUUCAAAGCACCCCACCACUGAAACUUUAUAUGCGAAAAAUUAUAGUACUUUACAAAUCAUGUCGAGGAAUACACAAAUCAGUCCACACAGAAAUAAUUCCUACAUACCAAACCUUCAAUUGACCAAAAUCUUGAAUUAAUCAUGGCGGACUAGAUGGACAUGGUUCGAUCUAAACUAAUAAUGGGAUUUAUACUAACAAAAAAUGAGACAAGCAUCGUUUUUAUUUUUAGAUUUUUUAAUUUUUUUUAGAAUUCAAUGUAGCAAAUUAAGUAGUCAAUUAGGAAAGAUUAAAAACUCAAAAUCACUCCAAAUGAAUCCAAAUAGAUGCAAGAUGAGAAAUCUACUGAAUUUAACACUAUCAAAUCUCAGAGAACUAAUUCAACUAGCUAAAAAUUUGUAUCCCUUAAACCAAUAAAACUUAAAUUAUCUUAACCAGUUUUAAUGGCUGUUAUGAUGUUUCAGUCACAUAAAAUCAAACAAAAUGAGAGAAGGAGAUGGAAUAGACCUGAAAUAAAUCUGAAAUUUUGAUUUCCCUACAAUUUGUAAGUAAUAAACAACAAGACGCAAAGAAGAGCUUCACCGAAAGCUGAAGAACAUGGCCUAGACCGGGAAAUCGAACGGAGACCUUGAACAGGUGCCUCAACCGGAAAUCGAUGGACUGUCGCGUUUGAGCUCCUAAACUCUGUUAUGCUAACGAGGAGGAAAAAUCUGGUCCGAAAUCAGCAACUAUUGAGGAUGUUGUGGUGGCUAAUUGACAGCUAUUAGUAUCUCUUCUCGCUCGAGUGCGCAUGUGUACUUCAUUUUAAUUGUCAAGGUGAGAUAGAUGCUUUUAAGUAUUCAAAUUCCCAAAGUCCACUGUUUCACAACGAAUGAAAUCCUAUUCUUGUUAUCAUUAUCCAAAUGUAA
rnacentral:lncRNA from 1 species